GGGCUAAUGAUGACAAAUGCUAUAUCUUAGCCAAUUUCAGUGAGAUUUUAUCGAUGAUCUGAAUGCUAGACACACUGUAGCUU